GGGGGGGGGGGGGGGGGGGGGGGGGGGGGGCGGGGCGGGCGGGGAGGCCCGGGUGGGGGGACUCGAGUGGCGAACGGGUGGGUAUCACGUGGGUAACCUGCCCUUGACUUCGGGAUAACUUCAGGAAACUGGGGCUAAUACCGGAUCGGAAUCCUUGCUGCCUGGUGGGGGUUGGAAAGCUUCGGCGGUUUUGGAUGUACUCGCGGCUUAUCAGCUUGUUGGUGGGGUAGUGGCCUACCAAGGCUUUGCCGGGUAGCCGGCCUGAGAGGGCGACCGGCCACAUUGGGACUGAGAUUCGGCCCAGACUCCUACGGGAGGAAGCAGUGGGGAAUAUUGCACAAUGGGCGGAAGCCUGAUGCAGCAACGCCGCGUGCGGGAUGACGGCCUUAGGGUUGUAAACCGAUUUCAGCAGGGGCGAAGCUUGUGGUGACGGUACCUGAAGAAGAAGCACCGGCUAACUACGUG
rnacentral:rRNA from 1 species